UUAAGCGACUAAGCGUACACGGUGGAUGCCCUGGCAGUCAGAGGCGAUGAAGGACGUGCUAAUCUGCGAUAAGCGUCGGUAAGGUGAUAUGAACCGUUAUAACCGGCGAUUUCCGAAUGGGGAAACCCAGUGUGUUUCGACACACUAUCAUUAACUGAAUCCAUAGGUUAAUGAGGCGAACCGGGGGAACUGAAACAUCUAAGUACCCCGAGGAAAAGAAAUCAACCGAGAUUCCCCCAGUAGCGGCGAGCGAACGGGGAGCAGCCCAGAGCCUGAAUCAGUGUGUGUGUUAGUGGAAGCGUCUGGAAAGGCGCGCGAUACAGGGUGACAGCCCCGUACACAAAAAUGCACAUGCUGUGAGCUCGAUGAGUAGGGCGGGACACGUGGUAUCCUGUCUGAAUAUGGGGGGACCAUCCUCCAAGGCUAAAUACUCCUGACUGACCGAUAGUGAACCAGUACCGUGAGGGAAAGGCGAAAAGAACCCCGGCGAGGGGAGUGAAAAAGAACCUGAAACCGUGUACGUACAAGCAGUGGGAGCACGCUUAGGCGUGUGACUGCGUACCUUUUGUAUAAUGGGUCAGCGACUUAUAUUCUGUAGCAAGGUUAACCGAAUAGGGGAGCCGAAGGGAAACCGAGUCUUAACUGGGCGUUAAGUUGCAGGGUAUAGACCCGAAACCCGGUGAUCUAGCCAUGGGCAGGUUGAAGGUUGGGUAACACUAACUGGAGGACCGAACCGACUAAUGUUGAAAAAUUAGCGGAUGACUUGUGGCUGGGGGUGAAAGGCCAAUCAAACCGGGAGAUAGCUGGUUCUCCCCGAAAGCUAUUUAGGUAGCGCCUCGUGAAUUCAUCUCCGGGGGUAGAGCACUGUUUCGGCAAGGGGGUCAUCCCGACUUACCAACCCGAUGCAAACUGCGAAUACCGGAGAAUGUUAUCACGGGAGACACACGGCGGGUGCUAACGUCCGUCGUGAAGAGGGAAACAACCCAGACCGCCAGCUAAGGUCCCAAAGUCAUGGUUAAGUGGGAAACGAUGUGGGAAGGCCCAGACAGCCAGGAUGUUGGCUUAGAAGCAGCCAUCAUUUAAAGAAAGCGUAAUAGCUCACUGGUCGAGUCGGCCUGCGCGGAAGAUGUAACGGGGCUAAACCAUGCACCGAAGCUGCGGCAGCGACACUAUGUGUUGUUGGGUAGGGGAGCGUUCUGUAAGCCUGUGAAGGUGUGCUGUGAGGCAUGCUGGAGGUAUCAGAAGUGCGAAUGCUGACAUAAGUAACGAUAAAGCGGGUGAAAAGCCCGCUCGCCGGAAGACCAAGGGUUCCUGUCCAACGUUAAUCGGGGCAGGGUGAGUCGACCCCUAAGGCGAGGCCGAAAGGCGUAGUCGAUGGGAAACAGGUUAAUAUUCCUGUACUUGGUGUUACUGCGAAGGGGGGACGGAGAAGGCUAUGUUGGCCGGGCGACGGUUGUCCCGGUUUAAGCGUGUAGGCUGGUUUUCCAGGCAAAUCCGGAAAAUCAAGGCUGAGGCGUGAUGACGAGGCACUACGGUGCUGAAGCAACAAAUGCCCUGCUUCCAGGAAAAGCCUCUAAGCAUCAGGUAACAUCAAAUCGUACCCCAAACCGACACAGGUGGUCAGGUAGAGAAUACCAAGGCGCUUGAGAGAACUCGGGUGAAGGAACUAGGCAAAAUGGUGCCGUAACUUCGGGAGAAGGCACGCUGAUAUGUAGGUGAAGUCCCUCGCGGAUGGAGCUGAAAUCAGUCGAAGAUACCAGCUGGCUGCAACUGUUUAUUAAAAACACAGCACUGUGCAAACACGAAAGUGGACGUAUACGGUGUGACGCCUGCCCGGUGCCGGAAGGUUAAUUGAUGGGGUUAGCCGCAAGGCGAAGCUCUUGAUCGAAGCCCCGGUAAACGGCGGCCGUAACUAUAACGGUCCUAAGGUAGCGAAAUUCCUUGUCGGGUAAGUUCCGACCUGCACGAAUGGCGUAAUGAUGGCCAGGCUGUCUCCACCCGAGACUCAGUGAAAUUGAACUCGCUGUGAAGAUGCAGUGUACCCGCGGCAAGACGGAAAGACCCCGUGAACCUUUACUAUAGCUUGACACUGAACAUUGAGCCUUGAUGUGUAGGAUAGGUGGGAGGCUUUGAAGUGUGGACGCCAGUCUGCAUGGAGCCGACCUUGAAAUACCACCCUUUAAUGUUUGAUGUUCUAACGUGGACCCGUAAUCCGGGUUGCGGACAGUGUCUGGUGGGUAGUUUGACUGGGGCGGUCUCCUCCUAAAGAGUAACGGAGGAGCACGAAGGUUGGCUAAUCCUGGUCGGACAUCAGGAGGUUAGUGCAAUGGCAUAAGCCAGCUUGACUGCGAGCGUGACGGCGCGAGCAGGUGCGAAAGCAGGUCAUAGUGAUCCGGUGGUUCUGAAUGGAAGGGCCAUCGCUCAACGGAUAAAAGGUACUCCGGGGAUAACAGGCUGAUACCGCCCAAGAGUUCAUAUCGACGGCGGUGUUUGGCACCUCGAUGUCGGCUCAUCACAUCCUGGGGCUGAAGUAGGUCCCAAGGGUAUGGCUGUUCGCCAUUUAAAGUGGUACGCGAGCUGGGUUUAGAACGUCGUGAGACAGUUCGGUCCCUAUCUGCCGUGGGCGCUGGAGAACUGAGGGGGGCUGCUCCUAGUACGAGAGGACCGGAGUGGACGCAUCACUGGUGUUCGGGUUGUCAUGCCAAUGGCACUGCCCGGUAGCUAAAUGCGGAAGAGAUAAGUGCUGAAAGCAUCUAAGCACGAAACUUGCCCCGAGAUGAGUUCUCCCUGACUCCUUGAGAGUCCUGAAGGAACGUUGAAGACGACGACGUUGAUAGGCCGGGUGUGUAAGCGCAGCGAUGCGUUGAGCUAACCGGUACUAAUGAACCGUGAGGCUUAACCUU
rnacentral:rRNA from 1 species